rnacentral:rRNA from 1 species
UACGUAGGGUGCAAGCGUUGUCCGGAAUCAUUGGGCGUAAAGGGCGCGUAGGUGGCCCGGUCAGUCUUUGGUGAAAGCGCGGGGCUCAACCCUGCGUCGGCCAGGGAUACUGCCGCGGCUCGAGCACUGUAGAGGCAGGCGGAAUUCCGGGUGUAGCGGUGGAAUGCGUAGAGAUCCGGAAGAACACCGGUGGCGAAGGCGGCCUGCUGGGCAGUUUAGCUGACACUGAGGCGCG